UGCAGGAUCGGGCUGCUGUUCUGCCUGUAUACGUGUGCGCGAGAGAAAUGGUUGCGAAGUGGGCGUUGAUUGGGGGGGCUGUGGUCCUU
rnacentral:ribozyme from 1 species